GAUGAACGCUGGCGGCGUGCCUAAUACAUGCAAGUCGAGCGAAUGGAUUAAGAGCUUGCUCUUAUGAAGUUAGCGGCGGACGGGUGAGUAACACGUGGGCAACCUGCCCAUAAGACUGGGAUAACUCCGGGAAACCGGGGCUAAUACCGGAUAACAUUUUGAACCGCAUGGUUCGAAAUUGAAAGGCGGCUUCGGCUGUCACUUAUGGAUGGACCCGCGUCGCAUUAGCUAGUUGGUGAGGUAACGGCGCACCAAGGCAACGAUGCGUAGCCGACCUGCGCGGGUGAUCGGCCCCACUGGGACUGAGACAAGGCCCAGACUCCUACGGGAGGCAGCAGUAGGGAAUCUUCCGCAAUGGACGAAAGACUGACGGAGCAACGCCGCGUGAGUGAUGAAGGCUUUCGGGUCGUAAAACUCUGUUGUUAGGGAAGAACAAGUGCUAGUUGAAUAAGCUGGCACCUUGACGGUACCUAACCAGAAAGCCACGGCUAACUACGUGCCAGCCGCCGCAGUAA
rnacentral:rRNA from 1 species